UGAUUGGAAUGACGUCACCCGGAAGUAAUAAUAAACUACUCACAAACAAUAAGUAUGGUAUUUUCUUUGCUUUUACGAUAUAAAAUGUAUUUAUAAGAAGUUUUUUGUCAAUUGCUGAAAUAUUAAGAAAACAAAAAAAAAAACAAUGUGAGUGGAUCAGGAAGACCUUUUUCACUGGACACAUGGACGGCGCGGUCUUGGGUUAUUUGCUCUGAGGUUUCCAAAACAUUUUGAACACUGGAGUUAUUGCAACGCACCCAAAAUCCCAUGGCAAUGGUGGACCCACGUGUGGAUUUUGCUGCAUGGCUCGCCGCGCGGGGAAUGAAGCCACGUUUUGCUCAAGCGAUGGCGCGUGAUCUUGGCAUUAGUGAUUACGACGAACUGCUCGCCUGUGCCGAACACCCGCAGGUUCGAGCUGAGCUGUUUGCAUCGGUCCGUGAUCGUUUCCCCUUUGCCUUCUAUGCUGUACUACGGCGUGUCACUGAAGCUGUGGUUCCAACCGUCUCCAAUGGUUCUGAAGUUUUCAACGGCACCAGAGCAGCACCAAGUCUCCCGCAAAUGAUCGUGGCAAUGCUGAAUAGCCUAAGUGAGGAGUUGCGACAGUCGGCGCAACGGUUCAGCACCGUGCAGUUGACACAGAGUAACACCAUUAAUCCUCCAGAAUUCGGGUCAAUUCGAGAAACAGGUUUGCUAAUAAUUUUCCCUCCCUUCCAUGCAGUUGUGCCUUCUUUUUUGUUUUACUUUCUUGCAUACCCUAUUUUGCUUCAUUCUCUCACAUUUCUGUUCCGCUCCAAGCUUGGGGUCCUGGAGGGUGGAGGGGAGGAUGCUCUUUCAUCUCGUUUUGCAAACCUAUCAUGGCUGCAUGGUCCAGCAAUCAAUUGUCUCACCAAUUCAAAUUUCACUAGCUGCAACAAGGAUUAAAUUGCUUGUAAGAGUGUAUAAGAGCAGACGUAGACUUUCCUGUUUGGUGGUAUAGGGAUUAGUACUAAUUGUUGGUAAGCUGUACCUUUUUCUUGAACAAUAAAUAAUCCCAACUGCCUAACUUAGUGUUAUAUACAUAUUGUAUAUUAAAU
rnacentral:lncRNA from 1 species